rnacentral:rRNA from 1 species
CCCUUAGAUGUUCGGGGCCGCACGCGCGCUACACUGAAGGAAUCAGCACGUCUUUCUCCUUGUCCGAAAGGACUGGGUAACCCGCUGAACCUCCUUCGUGCUAGGGAUUGGGGCUUGUAAUUCUUCCCCAUGAACGAGGAAUUCCCAGUAAGCGCGAGUCAUAAGCUCGCGUUGAUUACGUCCCUGCCCUUUGUACACACCGCCCGUCGCUACUACCGAUUGAAUGUUCCGGUGAACACUUUGGAAUAGUUCUUAUGUGAGGGGAAACUCUUUGCUUGGAUACUGUGAAGUUGUGUAAACCUUAACAUUUAGAGGAAGGAGAAGUCGUAACA